UACGUAGGGGCAAGCGUUGUCCGGAUUUAUUGGGCGUAAAGAGCGUGUAGGCGGCUUUACAGGUCCGUUGUGAAAACUCGAGGCUCAACCUCGAGACGCCGGUGGAAACCGUAAAGCUAGAGUCCGGAAGAGGAGAGUGGAAUUCCUGGUGUAGCGGUGAAAUGCGCAGAUAUCAGGAGGAACACCGAUGGCGAAAGCAGGUACCUGGACCAUUACUGACGCUCAGCUGCGAAAGCUAGGGGAGCAAACAGG
rnacentral:rRNA from 1 species